CCUACGGGAGGCAGCAGUGGGGAAUGUUGGACAAUGGGCGCAAGCCUGAUCCAGCUAUACCGCGUGUGGGAAGACGGCCUUCGGGUUGUAAACCACUUUUGUAGAGAACGAAAAGUCUGUUGAUAAUACCGAUAGAUGAUGACGGUACUCUAAGAAUAAGCACCGGCUAACUACGUGCCAGCAGCCGCGGUAAUAAGUAGGGUGCGAGCGUUAAUCGGAAUUACUGGGCGUAAAGGGUGUGCAGGCGGUUUUGCAAGCUGGAUGUGAAAGCCCCGGGCGUAACCUGGGAAAGCCAUACCUGACUGCAAGACUAGAGUGCGUCAGAGGGGGGUGGAAUUCCAAGUGUAGCAGUGAAAUGCGUAGAUAUUUGGAAGAACACCGAUGGCGAAGGCAGCCCCCUGGGACGCAACUGACGCUCAUACACGAAAGCGUGGGGAGCAAACAGGAUUAGAUACCCGAGUAGUC
rnacentral:rRNA from 1 species